rnacentral:rRNA from 1 species
UACGUAGGGGGCUAGCGUUGUCCGGAAUCAUUGGGCGUAAAGCGCGUGUAGGCGGUUCGGUAAGUCCGCUGUGAAAGUCGGGGGCUCAACCCUCGGAUGCCGGUGGAUACUGUCGAGCUUGAGUACGGAAGAGGCGAGUGGAAUUCCUGGUGUAGCGGUGAAAUGCGUAGAUAUCAGGAGGAACACCCGUGGCGAAGGCGGCUCUCUGGAACGCAACUGACGCUGAGACGCGAAAGCGUGGGGAGCAAACAGG